CCUACGGGAGGCAGCAGUGGGGAAUAUUGGACAAUGGGGGAAACCCUGAUCCAGCCAUGCCGCGUGUGUNAAGAAGGCCUUUUGGUUGUAAAGCACUUUAAGCAGUGAAGAAGACUCCGUGGUUAAUACCCACGGACGAUGACAUUAGCUGCAGAAUAAGC
rnacentral:rRNA from 1 species